rnacentral:snRNA from 1 species
CAGUGUUACAUCUCUUUUAGAACUUGUCUAGCAGCUUUUCCAGUUUUCACCGGGGGAAAAAA